GCUUGCUAACCCAUGACAUGGGUAGACUGUAAUCUGUCAAGAGGAGAGGCAGAAGGAAUUUCAUGCAGCUCCAGGCUACACACUGCCUGGCCAUGUGAAUGGUUCAGAAAUACAUGUCAUGAAGAGGACAAAGCGGUUACCACAAAGGAAGACUAAAUUUAAAUUGGCCAGCAUGAAAAGAAAAUUAAAAUUAUCUCCUGCGUAUCUUCAUUCUGCUUUUAUAAAAUGCCUAUAUUUUUCAUCAAUGCCUGGUAAAAAGAGCCUGAGCAGUUCAUCCAUGCCUGUCUGACUUUUAUGCAUUCCAGAUGAACCUAUGCAAUGAAAUCACUAAAAACUUGGUAUGACCAAAGGCUGUUUCCUCUUAGAAGAAGAUACAAGAUUCACCAAGACUACAGGCUCACUACUUUCCUCAUUAAAUUUCAAAAGGGUUUAUGAAAAUUUGAUUUUAAUCUAUGAAUCUCUUGACUGUUUUGAAGCAUCAUUGGAGAGACCCAGCCUUUCCCACAGAAGCAUGGCCUUUUCUCACAUAUGUGGAUAUGAACGGAGGGAUGUCACUAGACAGAUAAAGAUGUUGCACCUCUUUUAAAACCAUUAAUGUUUUUGCAAAAGAGAAUAAAAGCCAUGUUUCCUUCUAAGUGUGUUGUAGACAGGAAACUGAGGAGUUUUUGUUGUGGACAUGGGAACUAGAUAUUUGACCUGGUGGUAUGUAUUUAUUUUACUAAUAGAGAAAUUCCUUGGGCAAUGAAAUGAUACCAUGUCACCCAGACCCUAGAUCAAAUGUCUCUUUAUGCAUGUAGAAAGAAAAAUAAAAUAUUGCUUUGAAAUAUAAAACAGCAUAUAGAACCAUUAAUAAAGAUAAUGUUUACUAAAAUCCA